rfam:Biomphalaria glabrata isolate BB02 unplaced genomic scaffold LGTN_random_Scaffold43, whole genome shotgun sequence.
AAAGCUUAGCGGUAAAGCGCUUGGCUUCCGAACCAGGGUCCCGGGUUCGAAUCCUGGU